rnacentral:rRNA from 1 species
GACGAACGCUGGCGGCGUGCUUAACACAUGCAAGUCGAGCGAUGAAGCACCUUCGGGUGUGAAUUAGCGGCGAACGGGUGAGGAACACGUGAGAAAUCUGCCUUCAACACUGGGAUAACUCCGGGAAACCGGGGCUAAUACCGGAUAUGAAACCUGCGGGCAUCCGCGGGUUUGGAAAGUUUUUCGGUUGAAGAUGAUCUCGCGGCCUAUCAGCUUGUUGGUGAGGUAAUGGCUCACCAAGGCGACGACGGGUAGCCGGCCUGAGAGGGCGAGCGGCCACACUGGGACUGAGACACGGCCCAGACUCCUACGGGAGGCAGCAGUGGGGAAUAUUGGGCAAUGGAGGAAACUCUGACCCAGCGACGCCGCGUGCGGGAUGAAGGCCUUCGGGUUGUAAACCGCUUUCAGCAGGGAAGAAGCGAAAGUGACGGUACCUGCAGAAGAAGCGCCGGCUAACUAUGUGCCAGCAGCCGCGGUAA